rnacentral:tRNA from 1 species
GCAGGGGUAGGAAAGUGGACAAAUCCGCAGGGCUUAGGACUCUGUCCGUUAGUCGGUUCGUGAGUUCGAAUCUCACCCCCUGCA